CCUCCCGAGUGCUUGCACUCAAUUGGAAAGAGGAGUGGCGGACGGGUGAGUAACACGUGGGUAACCUACCCAUCAGAGGGGGAUAACACUUGGAAACAGGUGCUAAUACCGCAUAACAGUUUAUGCCGCAUGGCAUAAGAGUGAAAGGCGCUUUCGGGUGUCGCUGAUGGAUGGACCCGCGGUGCAUUAGCUAGUUGGUGAGGUAACGGCUCACCAAGGCCACGAUGCAUAGCCGACCUGAGAGGGUGAUCGGCCACACUGGGACUGAGACACGGCCCAGACUCCUACGGGAGGCAGCAGUAGGGAAUCUUCGGCAAUGGACGAAAGUCUGACCGAGCAACGCCGCGUGAGUGAAGAAGGUUUUCGGAUCGUAAAACUCUGUUGUUAGAGAAGAACAAGGACGUUAGUAACUGAACGUCCCCUGACGUAUCUAACCAGAAAGCCACG
rnacentral:rRNA from 1 species